rnacentral:rRNA from 1 species
UACGAAGGGGGGCUAGCGUUGCUCGGAAUCACUGGGCGUAAAGGGUGCGUAGGCGGGUCUUUAAGUCAGAGGUGAAAUCCCAAGGCUCAACCUUGGAACUGCCUUUGAUACUGGGGAUCUUGAGUCCGGGAGAGGUGAGUGGAACUGCGAGUGUAGAGGUGAAAUUCGUAGAUAUUCGCAAGAACACCAGUGGCGAAGGCGGCUCACUGGCCCGGUACUGACGCUGAGGUGCGAAAGCGUGGGGAGCAAACAGG